rnacentral:rRNA from 1 species
AGUAACGCGUGGGUAACCUGCCUCGUACAGGGGGAUAACAGUUAGAAAUGACUGCUAAUACCGCAUGAGCGCACAGUGCUGCAUGGCACAGUGUGAAAAACUCCGGUGGUAUGAGAUGGACCCGCGUCUGAUUAGCUGGUUGGUGGGGUAACGGCCUACCAAGGCGACGAUCAGUAGCCGGCCUGAGAGGGUGAACGGCCACAUUGGGACUGAGACACGGCCCAA